rnacentral:rRNA from 1 species
GUGUGUAAGCGCAGCGAUGCGUUGAGCUAACCGGUACUAAUGAACCGUGAGGCUUAACCUUACAACGCCGAAGGUGUUU